rnacentral:lncRNA from 1 species
GCUCCCCAGGAGCGCCCUGGCAGGGAGCUCUGUGUGUCAGUCUGUCUGUCUGUCUGUCUGUCUGUCUGUUCAGCGCUGCCCCGGCAGGGAGCUCUGUCUGUCUGUCUGUGUCUGUCUGUGUCUGUCUGUCUGUUCAGUGAUGCCCUGGCAGCAAGCUGUGUCUGUGUGUCUGUCAGUCUGUGUGUCUGUCAGUCUGUGUGUCUGUCAGUCUGUGUGUCUGUCAGUCUGUGUGUCUGUCUGUCCGCUCAGCGCUGCCCCGCUGUCGUUGCAGGCGCGGAGCUUUCUCCGGG